GGGAACUUCACUUUUCAUCAGUGCCACGCUGGUGUGGAAUGAGGAUUUACUGUUAAUCUUUUAAUACCAACAGCAUGUUUCACGGACACAUUUCGUUUUUUCCAUUGGGGAAGGGAGCGGGGAGGGGCAAUUGAGAAGAGCUGUGCAGAUAGGUUUUCCAGACCUGCCCCAUCCUCCAGUGAGGACUCUGAAACCACUGUUGAUCUACUGUCAAAGAAGUUCCACCCUGUGUUAUGGCCUCGGGGAAUGAAUCAUCACUGUAAGCAUGAGGCACACCCUCCUGGAAGGGGAGACUCACAAGGUGAACAUUUUGGCAAACAACCAUGGGAACUGACUUUAAAGCUGCAAUGAUCAAUAUCUUUGUAUCAAUAAUUUGUUGGAAAGGUUGAGGGGUGAGCACCACCUGAUCACCAGUCGGUGUUUAAUUUGGAGGGGACCUUCGGAGGAGAGUAAAACAAAACUUCUGUUGGAGUAACUUAAUAAGCCGCCAGCGCUAUGGAAAGUUCCACAUCUUUUACUUCAUUGUUCUGGUUUCAUGGCCCGCAAAUGUGCUCUUUUGGUUCAGUGUCACUGUUCAAAUCAACCUUCUUUUCUAAUGUUUCAUUCAUUAGCUCCUGAGCAUAGCGGCGCAUUUGCCAGAUAGUUCAUUCAGAUGUUGGUGGAGACCAAAAAGGGAGCUAAAAGAGUGUGUGUAGUACACUUGCAUAAAUAUACUUUUCUUUCUCUUAUAAUUGAAGUAGCCAGUAACCCAGUCUGUAAGACAUGACAGACAUUUGUUGUACAUCAAAGGGAAAUCAUUUCAUAACCACAUUUUCACUGAACUUGUUGUGUCAUUCAAUUUUUUUGGGAAAUGUGGAGUUGUGUCACAUCAAACAGUAAAUCAGAUAGAGCUAGUGUUAAAGGCUGAGAAGGAGAUGACAAAAUAACUUUCAGGCUUUGGUAAAGUUAUGAUGAACUUGCUCUGGCAACUACGAUUUCACAUGUACGUAUGUAUAUAUAUAUAUAUAUAUACAUAUAUAUAUAUAUAUUGCUUUUUUGUCAAACUUUUGGUAUAAACAUGAAUUGACUUGCAUUGCUGUACUCUGCCGUUCUAUUUUUUUAUUUUCCCCAUCUUCCCCAUCCAUAUUUUUUCUUCAUCCGCUGUAUCAUGUUAAGAGAAAUCCUCCAAAAGAAGUUUUGUGUUACUUUCCUCCAAAGGUCCGCUCCAAAUUAAACACUGACGUGUUAUCGAGAAGCGCUCACCUCUCAACCUUUUCAACCUCCCGAUGUAUGGGAACGGACUUCCUGGGCUUUACUGUAUGUUAUGGUUUUCUGUGGGAAUCUGCGUUGGGUAAGAAACAGAAACAGGCGCGUCCUGGCUUGAUAUAGACUAUGCAACCCCUUGAAGGCAGAUGACGGUGUUCUCACCUGAAAUUACAAAUUUCGCAGUGGGACAGAUGUGCGAAUACCUAAGCACACUCGCAGCACAACCCGACUACAACCUCUCCAAAAAGGAAAAGAUUAAAGGGUGACCAUGAACGGGAAGCACUCCUGUCCAGGGCAAACACAGACAUAGUCGUGAGCAGAAUAGACUCAGGGGGAUUUCCCCCCGGGACUGUGUAUUUUGUGAAUGAAUGAGUAGCACACAAUGGCGGCAGACAAGCUCAGGAGAUACAAGGACGAGAGCUUUAGGAGAGAGAAAAGAAGAAAAAAAUGACUGACUAGCACACAUCAACAAAUGGUGACCACUUCUUCCCCUGGCAGUUGGUUGUUAGUCAUGAAAUAGUAUUUCAGAAAGAAUGAAAGGAAGCCACGGAAACUGAGAGAGAGAGAGAGAGAGAGCGAGAGAGAGAGAGAGGGGGGAGCACAAACAUGUUGAUUGGCUCAGGGCUUGGUGCCUGAUUCUAGGCCCAUUGUGAUUGGCUGAGAGGUAUGGCCUCACCUUAAAAGAGGGUUACUCCAGUUCAAUGACACUGAGAUUUCCAUACGUGUGUGCGCGCGUAUGUGUUGGCGUGGCAGGAAACUGAACAUCCACCACAAAGACAUGCCAUUCAAAUCAGCAGCAUGUGUGGGCAUCGAUCUCUGCCUUCCUGAUCACCACGGACCCAGGCGCAACAAUCACACUUUUGUUUCCUUAAUUGUCAGAAAAUCCUUCAAAGGUGCCGAUGGAACAGGGAGAAAAAAAAAGAAAUCCAGGAUCGUAUUUGUCACAGAAAACUUGACAGUAUACAACUAAACAAAGGCAGUUUGAUGCAUCACAUUUGCAAGGUUUAACAGAAGACUUCCUUUAACAGUCGCACCAUUCAGGCACACAAAUGUGACAGGCAGUGUGUCAACAUCAUCAGCAAUGGCAAGGAAAGUAAUCACUUUGAAAACAUCACCGAGGACCGUAAAAGCUGAAUUCGAAUAAAAUGAAUUCAUAGGCAUGUACACAUUCCUACUCUGUGUAGGAAUGUGUACAUUCCACCCCCCCCAUGACAAUUCUAACCCUGACCCUGACCCUUUCCCCACUCUCCUCCACCAAACCCUUAAACUGACCCUAAUCCCUGGACCGUGACCCGGUGCUCUCUUUGAAUGUUAGCCACUGAAGGCGUGGCACUUGGCCAAACAAAGGGACUUUGUAUCAAAUCCAACUCUAGCCCUGAGUGAGAAAGAGUCUAUGAUUCAUAAUUUGCCAACCAAACCAGACACAUUAUAAGAGAGAGAUAACCCCCUUAAAGAAUCCUGAAUAGAAAAGUCUGUGAUGCCAAAAAUUGUGGUUGUAUGACACAUGUGCCUCCCCAAAUUCAAAUAGCCAAACAGGAAAUGUCUUCCUCUUCUUUUUAAAUAAAGCCAAAACUAAAGUUUGAAAGUUUGAAGUGGACUAUGUCUUUAAAACACCAGAGGCCAGUCGUUACUGAUCUCCUCCAAAGUCCCCAUGUGUCUUCACCACAGGAAGGCGGUUGCGCGCCAUUGCUGUUUGAUAUGAAUACUAAAAGUGAGCACCAACGAUGGAUGGGUAAUCAUGGAUUGAUCUGAAAAGAGUGUGAGUGUGUCAACGUGGUUCUAAAGCAAAACACGUUUUGUAAAAAUCUGCGGAUAUUUCCUCACUGUCUGUUACCUGUCGUACGUGUGCGUGCGCUGCCCCUUUAAUGUACGUUUAACCUCUGCUUUAAUUUCCCCUUUGGCAGUUAUUUUCUGAAAUUUCGCCUCAAAUAAUUCUGGGGUUUGACGAAGGUUAAGUUGGGAUCCCAGUACAAUGGAAACAGACCAGAAUUCUUUUACACAGAGUACAGGCGGGUUUACAUGGCCGCGCAGAGCACAUAACGUGCAUACCUGGUGAGUCAGACAUCAAACACACCCAUGUGUUUGAUGUCUUCCGUCAGCUAUCGGAAGUGCAGACGCUGACAAGAAAGCUGGAGAACACAUGAGCCUGCAGCUAUUCAUCUCUGCAUAUGAAUGUCUGUGUUUCACACUAACACACACACGCGCGCACACACACACGCGCGCACACACCUCAUUCCAUUCUGGACACAUCUCAAUGGAGGAAAAAUAAAUAAAACAAAGUGUUAUGCAACUGAUUGCGUCUUUAAUCGCUCAUCCCAUGAGUUUUAGCUCCAUUUCAUGACAAUGACCUGAGAAGUAACAAAGCUCAAAAUGGCGACUAUCUAAACAAAGAUAGUCACAAAUUUUUCUCCGCCAGUAUCUAAAACAG